GGUCCCGUAGCGUAAUUGGUUAUCGCACCGCCUUGUCACGGCGGAGAUUUGCCGGUUCGAAUCCGGUCGGGAUCG
rnacentral:tRNA from 1 species